rnacentral:tRNA from 1 species
UGGCUCAGACGGUAAAGCAUCUGCCUGCAAUGCAGGAGACCUGGGUUCAAUUCCUGG